UCAUAAUGCAUUUUCUUCACAUGGAGGGAAUGCCAAAGAUUUAUCGGUAAGGGAUGGGCCCGCGUCCGAUUAGCUGGUUGGUGAGGUAGCGGGCUCACCAAGGCGACGAUCGGUAGCCGGCCUGAGAGGGCGGACGGCCACAUUGGAACUGAGACACGGUCCAGACUCCUACGGGAGGCAGCAGUGGGGGAUAUUGCACAAUGGAGGGAACUCUGAUGCAGCGACGCCGCGUGAAGGAAGAAGGCCUUCGGGUCGUAAACUUCUGUCCUUGGGGAAGAAAGAAAUGACGGUACCCUUGGAGGAAGCCCGGCUAACUACGUGCC
rnacentral:rRNA from 1 species